CGGGGAGUAGUAUAUCGGCAGUACACACGCUUCGGGUGCGUGAAGGCCGGGUUCGAUUCCCGGCUCCCCGA
rnacentral:tRNA from 1 species